rnacentral:piRNA from 1 species
UCUGCCAUCAAACACAGAAUGCCCUGAUCC